GACAGAGGAGCCAAGCGUUGUCCGGACUGACUGGGCGUAAAGCGCCCGCAGGCGGCCGUGCACGUGGGGUGUGAAAGCUCGCGGCUUAACUGCGAGAGGCCAUCCCAUACGGCGCGGCUCGAGCCGUCCAGAGGCCGGUGGAAUUGCCGGUGUAGUGGUGAAAUGCGUAGAUAUCGGGAGGAACACCAGUGGCGAAGGCGACUACCUGGCCCAUUCUUGACGCUGAGGCGCGAAAGCUAGGGGAGCGAACGGG
rnacentral:rRNA from 1 species